UCAAACGGAAAAGAUUGAACGGUUUGUUUCGGUUGUUCAUGGUUUUUUUUUUUUCAACUUGUGUGUGGCUGUCGGUUUAAUGAAAAUAAGGAAAGGACAAGAAAAGUAGUUCUUGUGGCGGAUUUGGUGAUAAAAAAAAUGAAAAAACUAAAAAAUAAGAUUUUAUAAAUAUUAAAUAAUUAAUUUAUAAUAUAAAAUUGAAUAAUAUAAUUCAUUGAAUUUGGAAUAUUUGUGUAAAUUUCUCAUAAAUAUGCUACAUUUACAACAGUAUAGAUAGCAGCAGCCAGAACAAUAUGAUAACAGAACAGAGUGGUGAACAGAAAAAAAUAUUGUAUUAUAAGCGCCAGCCAGCAUCCCAUUAAAUUUAAAGAAAAUUCUUUUUUUUUUUUGUUAAAAACAGUUUUAUAAAUCAAUUUUUAUUUAGUUUAAAUUUCUGCAUAAUAAGAAUUAUAAUUUUGUUUUUUAAUUAAAAUCUAAAUUGAAAAUUAUACAAUUUAAGUUAAAGAAUAAUAUUAGAUGUGAUAAAAUAUUAAGAUACAAAUUCUGUUAUUGAGAGAAAAAAUAAUUUCUAAAUUGGAAAAAAAAAAGUAAUGCUCAAAAUAAUUUUAAAAAGAAAAAUUGUGCUAAAAUAUUAAAAUUAAAAUAAUAAUAAAUAGAAAAAGAAAAAAAAUAAUAAUUUUUAUUAGUGGGUAAUAUUGGUAAUUUUCUGGUAAAUUAAGCAUUGUAUUUUUAAUAAAUGAGUACAUAAUGAAUGUAUACUUUGUAAUAAAAAUAAAUUAAAGUGAAAAAUAAAUAGUUAUUUUAUCAAUUUCCUGAACUAAAUUUUCUCUGAAUUAAAUUAUAUACAUACAUACUUAUAUAUUAUAUACGAAAAAAUUAAAACGAAAAAUAAAAAAAAAAAUAAUAAUAAUUAAAAACUUUCAAAU